AUGGCCCCAGGAGCCAUAAGAGGUCCCCAAGGAGGUGGGGGGAGCAACGCAGAAGCAGACACCUCGGCCCAAGCCUGGCCUGAGCAAACCAGCCUGUCCUUGGUUCCAGGUUUCGGGCCCUUCCGGCAGCACUUGGUGAAUUCCAGCUGGGAAGCGGUGAAGGAACUCUCCAAACUGGGCCUGGGGAGUGACAUGGACGUAGAGCUGCAGACCCUUCAGCUGCCGGUGGAUUACAGGGAAGUGAAGCAGAGGGUCGCCAGAAUCUGGAAAGAUCUUCAACCGCAAUUCGUUGUGCAUGUGGGCGUGGACCCCGCCGCCAAGGCCAUCUUUCUGGAGCAGUGCAGCAAGAACCGAGGCUACCGGGACGCCGACAUCCGGGGCUUCCGGCCCGAGUGUGGCGUGUGCCUUCCAGAUGGCCCAGAAGUGAUCGCGUCAGAGGUCAGCAUGAAGGCGGUCAGCAGGCGGGCAGCAGUGCAGGGCGUGGAGGUGGCCUUUUCCCGAGACGCGGGUAGGUAUGUCUGCGAUUACGCCUACUACCUGUCUUUGCAUCAUGGAAAUGGGUGUGCGGCCCUCAUCCAUGUCCCUCCGUUAUCUCCUCGGCUGCCCGCCAGCCUGCUGGGAAAAGCCCUGCAAGUCCUCAUCCAGGAAAUGCUGGAGGAGAUUGAGAAAGGCCGGGCUCAAAACCAGAAGCUCAGCCUUUGCAGUUCCAGCCGGGGAGAACCAACUGGGGGACUGCUCCAUUAGAGAAAAUGAAAUGUUUCACUCCUGUGUGUAGAGUUAAACUGUGCUUUGAGGGGCUUUAAAAAAAAAAUUGCUUAUAAAACAGUUUACACCAAGGAAAAAUGUUCUGAAUUCGCUCAACGAAAUCACAAAGGGUUAUUUUAUUGUCAAAAGAAAGAAGAACACUCUGAAAGGCAGACAUUUCAUAGGGGAUUAACUAGCUUCAGUUAUGGUUUUCCUGACAAUAAAAUGAAAUGCUGCUGCUGCUGCUGCUGCUAA
rnacentral:lncRNA from 1 species